UGCAUUCGAAACUGGCAGGCUAGAGUCUUGUAGAGGGCGGUAGAAUUCCAGGUGUAGCGGUGAAAUGCGUAGAGAUCUGGAGGAAUACCGGUGGCGAAGGCGGCCCCCUGGACAAAGACUGACGCUCAGGUGCGAAAGCGUGGGGAGCAAACAGGAUUAGAUACCAUGGUAGUUCACGCCGUAAACGAUGUCGAUUUGGAGGUUGUGCCCUUGAGGCGUGGCUUCCGGAGCUAACGCGUUAAAUCGACCGCCUGGGGAGUACGGCCGCAAGGUUAAAACUCAAAUGAAUUGACGGGGGCCCGCACAAGCGGUGGAGCAUGUGGUUUAAUUCGAUGCAACGCGAAGAACCUUACCUGGUCUUGACAUCCACAGAACUUUCCAGAGAUGGAUUGGUGCCUUCGGGAACUGUGAGACAGGUGCUGCAUGGCUGUCGUCAGUUCUUGUUGUGAAAUGUUGGGUUAAGUCCCGCAACGAGCGCAACCCUUAUCCUUUGUUGCCAGCGGUUAGGCCGGGAACUCAAAGGAGACUGCCAGUGAUAAACUGGAGGAAGGUGGGGAUGACGUCAAGUCAUCAUGGCCCUUAUGACCAGGGCUACACACGUGCUACAAUGGCAUAUACAAAGAGAAGCGACCUCGCGAGAGCAAGCGGAC
rnacentral:rRNA from 1 species